rnacentral:snRNA from 1 species
AUACUUACCUGGCAGGGGAGAUACCAUGAUCACGAAGGUGGUUUUCCCAGGGCGAGGCUUAUCCAUUGCACUCUGGAUGUGCUGACCCCUGCGAUUUCCCCAAAUGUGGGAAACUCGACUGCUUAAUUUGUGGUAGUGGGGGACUGCGUUCGCGCUCUCCCCUG